rnacentral:rRNA from 1 species
GAGAGCGGCGUACGGGUGCGGAACACGUGUGCAACCUGCCUUUAUCAGGGGGAUAGCCUUUCGAAAGGAAGAUUAAUACCCCAUAACAUAUUGAAUGGCAUCAUUUAAUAUUGAAAACUCCGGUGGAUAGAGAUGGGCACGCGCAAGAUUAGAUAGUUGGUAGGGUAACGGCCUACCAAGUCAGUGAUCUUUAGGGGGCCUGAGAGGGUGAUCCCCCACACUGGUACUGAGACACGGACCAGACUCCUACGGGAGGCAGCAGUGAGGAAUAUUGGACAAUGGGUGAGAGCCUGAUCCAGCCAUCCCGCGUGAAGGACGACGGCCCUAUGGGUUGUAAACUUCUUUUG